rnacentral:lncRNA from 1 species
GCUUAUCUGGGCUCAUGGUUGGCAUCUAAGGUACCGUUUGAUUCGGGUAUAAGUCAAGAACUAGCUAUUACAGGGAUAGGUACAAGUAUGGGGAUAAAAAAAAUAGUGUUUGAAUGAAAAUUGGGUUGUUUUCGGGGAUAAGAACAAUUUUAGAUAGUUUUAUAUAGAAAAUAGAGGUGUUGGUGGGGAUAACCGAGAACUACUAUUCUCGAAUAAAAAAUUAGCAUUUAGGUAUAAAGGGGGGAUAAUGGCCUACUCCUAUUCCUAUCUCCUAACCAAACGCUGCCUAAGUAUUUUAACAGCUAAGCUACAUGUGUGUUUUUUUGGAAUAAUUGCCUACGUUUAAAAUUAAAUAUGCGAUUUACCCUUACUUUUUUUUCUUUCUAAAAUAUCCCUCAUAUGUUCCACCGUUAUUGCAAAAUACCUCCGCAAUUAUCCCAUGUUAAGUUAACUUGGGUUAAACGUGAGUUAAAUAUCUACCAUAGUUAAAAAAAUUAAAAUACCAAUUUUGCCCUUAACUUAAGGGCAAAUAAAAAAUAUUGGUGACGGUAGAGGGGUUUAUUGGAAAAGAACAAAAGUCAAAAUACUUUUUGUGCCCCUGACUUUAAGAGCAAAUAAGAAAGUCAAUGAUGGUGGAAAGGUAUAUUUGAAAGGGCAAAAUAGUAAUUUUACAGAAAUAACAGAGUUAAUUAACAGAUUUUAACUCUAGGAAUAUAUUAGAAAUAGGUUGGAACGUAGAAAAGAUAUUUUCAAUAUUAGCCUUCUAAAAAGGGUAAAUCGAAAAGUCGAAACUUUUCAGGAGUAUAUAAGCAAUUGCACUUUUUUUUUAAUAGCUCUUCUCAAAUUCUAUAUAACUUUAUCAUAUGCUUUACGUUUUCUAGAUUUAGUUUGAACAAAAUUCUAAAACUUCAACCACUUCACAAUGAAAGCUCCCUUCUUAUUCUUUUUCUUUGUAAGGAAAUUACAUAUUUAUUCAUGCAAGCUUUGAACAAUAAGAUGUCGUUUUACAAUAUUUGGUUAUUAUAAAUAUUUUCCUGAGUUGCUAAUAUAUAUAUAUAUAUAUAUAUAUCUCUUUUUUGAUGAUAUAUCUUUAAUUUUCUUAUUCUCAAAUAUUUACCACUCAUUCCCUCAAUAAUGAGGAGCAAAUUGGAUUUUGGUAAGAUUGUGAGAGGGCGGUAAUGUUAGCGAGACAUCAUGGUGGCCCGUCGGUACUGACAGUAGUGGAGUUUAAGUGGUACUUGGGGUAUGCUUGUUUCGCCGAAAGUGAACCAGAAUACAAUUGUUCUCAAUCAUAAAUAUCCACUUUCGUUGUUUAGUUUACCGUAAGUUAAAUUCAUCUGUAACUUUUUUAGAAAAAAAAACAUCGUAAUUGAUUUGUCUCUGAGUAGUGUGGAAGUCAAUUAAGAAAGAGAAAAAAAAUAAAAAAAUAAAAAAUUAACUGUUGUAAUUUUUUUCAUCUUUUAAUAUGUUAGUAUGAAGUACAUUCAAAAAAAUAAUUACUGUAAUUUUUAUCAUCUUUUUAUAUGUCAGUAUUAAAAUUCUCAGCAAAAUAAAUAGAAAGGAAUAGGCUCUUGAGAGUGGGCUCUCUUGCAUCCUAUCAAACAAAUAACAGUCAAUUUUUUGAUAUUUUUUAUUUAAAAUUUAAUUCAACUAAAAAUUAUUUUUAAGCCGAAAAUCACUUACAGGCAAUAAAAAGAUCCUUAAUAGUAGCGGUUAGAAAACAGUGGGGAAAUGACAGAUUAAGAUUUGUAUAUAGUUCAUUUCUUUUUUCUUUUUUUUUUUUUUUUUUGAGAGAUAGGUAGCACGCUACCUGUUUCGUUUAUUUUAUUUAAAAAUAAACUUAGCUGGAAAUGUGAAUCAACUAGGAUUCAAACUUGGGUCUCGGGUACCAACCACCAAGCCCUUGCCACUUGCUCUAGGGACGGUCGGUAGUUCAUUUCUAUCUGUAAGUUCAUUUAUGAAAAACUAGUUGAGUGUAAAUGAAAAACUAGUUGAGUGUACAUGUACGUAAUAAUUAUUUUAAUUUAUUUAUAAUCUAUAUAAAUUUGUACAUCGUAUUUAUUAAAAACAAAUUUACAAUAAAAAUUAUAUUUUAUAAAUUUAUAUGUUAUAUUUUAUUAGAAAACAUUUGAAACAUCCUAUAUUAUUGUUUUUACAUACAUUGAAUAUUUUUAUAUAUUUUUUAAUUUUUGAUUAAUCUUAAAUUUAAGUAUAUGUUUUAAACUAAAAACAUCUAAAUUUAAAUUACUUUGUACUUUAGAAUUUAAAAUUUAAUUUUGAUCCACUAUAAUUAAUUUUUUAAUUAUUAACUCCAAUGGAUAUAAAAAAUUAAAUUAAAUUUAUGAUAUAAACUUAAUUUUUAAUUUUAAUUUAAGUAGAUAGAUAUGAAUACUAUUUUUUAACAGAUUAAUCAUAACCUUCGUUUUUAUUUGAGAUAUUUCUUUUGAUUCCGUCUGUCAUUUCUAUACGCUUUUAUAUAUAGUAUUGUUGGAGCCGAAAUUUCCCGACUCUUGACCCGGUCAAAGAUCCUCCUCGGGAAGCGCGUCGGGAUGCGAGACGGCUGCGAACAGUGACCCUCGAAGUUUGCACACUUCGACAAAUCAAGCGAUUCGGCUGAUGAGGGAUCAGAUCAACCGGGUUCGAAAACCUCUAUAGUAUAAUCAGUUCGGCUGGGAUGAGCCGAAUCCUCGAAACAGGCCAGAAAGUGGGCAGAGAGAAGAGCCAGCCAAGACAACUCGAGAUCUGGUCGGCCUGAAGAGCCGAAAAUGAAAUACACAAUGACUGGUCGGCUGAAAGAGCCGAAUGCCUUUAUAUAAUAAUAAAAAGAGUGUGCCCGAAGGGCAUAUAGACUCAGAAAUAUAGUUUACAAUAGAGUGAUGCCCGUGGGGCAGACAGACUCUGCAAAUGUAGUCUACAACGGAGUGAUGCCUGUGGGGCAGACAGACUCCAGGGUUCUACUUAGUGAACUACUCCAGGAAAGCAGUAAAUGCGGAAAAGAAAAAGAUUACAUUUAGACUAUUCCUAGAAAAGCGAUAAAAUGCAGAGAAAAUAAGGGUGGUCUUUUGUGCGCAGGGGCAAAGACCUCUAUUGCAGUCUUUAAAGUUACUAUUUAUAGCCCACAUUAUUAGUUGGUUGAAAGAAGUUGGGGGGAGUGGUUGUAACCAUGAUCGUGGAAGUUAUACUAACUCCUCAUGGAAGUUACGCUAACUCCUCCUGAAAGUUACGCUCAAUCUUCAACCGUUCCCGCCUUUUUGUCCUUCAGGCGCCUUAUUGCCGACUCCUGGUGUACCACAUGUCCUUAUUGGCUCAUACGUGGGUUAGGUCGGCUCAAUUUUGGUAUAAACAAGUAUAGAUAAACAAAACGAAUCAUAAAUUAUCCUUCUCUUUUGUUUUGUUUUUUAAUUAUUGCAAAAGCUCAACAUCCUACUUGGUAGAGGGGCUAGAAGAAGGGAAGAGUUGUAAUGGUCAAUUUCUAAAAUGAGGACUAGGUCUAAGCAAUAUUUAGUUAGUAUAUUUUAUAUAAUUCUCGUAACUAUAAAUAAAUAAUUGGCAUAAAUUUUAAAGUAAAAGUGCCGCUAACUAACUCAAAUCAAACAAAAUAAAAUUUUGAAUAGAAAAAUUAAAAUUUUGAAAGCUUGGAUAACUAAAUCAAAAUGAUACAUAGUUUUGAUCAAUAUUUGUACAUUUUUAAUUACAAAUCAAAUAGAUAUCCAAAGAUGAACUUUAAUGUAAAGCAAUAAAUAAGAAGUUUGGGACUAAUAGUGUAAUUUUUUUUUAUCUCUUCUAUUUAAUUGUUUAUUAAUUAGUGAGAAAUGAGCAUGUCAGGUGAAUUGCACUACUAGCUCCUGAACUUAACUUUGAGUUUCGCUUUGGUCCUUAAAUUUUUAUUUCAAUAAUCAAAACUCUGAACUUUCACUACAAUAGUUAUUAAACUCGAAAUAGUUAUUAAACUUUUAAUUAUAUUUUAUUUUAGUAAUUACCUUAGGGUUAAAGGUAUUGUUUGUACCAAGUUUAUCCAUGUAUUCGAACAUUAUAAAUGUAUAAUUGAACGAUUCAAUUUUUACAUAAAAUAUAAUGCUAUAACUAAAUGGGUGAUAGCACUAAAAUAUAAGUUUUUAAAAAUCAAUAAAUCUACGGUGUAUAAAUGUACAUAUGCACCAGGUGUAGGGAAAAAAAGGAAAUAAAAUAAAACUACAACUCUAUCGGUCCAAUUCAUCACUAAUACGGAAAUUUUUAAAAAAUUGAGAAUCAAAGUGACAGUUGUUGAAAGUGGAGUGACUAUAAAUGCAAUUUUAUCCCAAAAAAGACGCUUAAUUAUUAGAAGAAAAUAAAUUUCAUACAGAACGCUACAAAUAUAAUGAAUUACAAAUAUAUUCUUACAAAGUUUAAGUUAUAUAUGUUAUUCUUACAAAAUUUUUAAUAUUUUUAAGUAUAUUUCUUUGUUUUGUUACUGUAACACUGUUAAAGCACUGUUUAUUUAUAAGUGAAAUGAUAAUUUUGUCAUUACAAAUAAAUCUUUUAAAAAAUUUCAACAGUGUAAAAUGGUCAAUUCACCUUAUUAACUAAUUAGAGUUAAGUAUUUUACUGAUAAUUAACUAAUAUUUGAAAAUAUUAGAAUUUUUGAAAGAAUAAUAUAUGGAAGUUGAGUUAAAUAGAUAUAUGUAUUUGUAAUUUACUAUUUUGUGAGGACCUAUAUGCAAGUAAUCCAAAACGGACAGAGAAAACGAAACAAAAAAGUUCCCUCGUCACUCCGUACACUCCGUACAGUACGGACGAGACCAAGGCUCGUAGGCCCCACAUAGCACGAAGGGAUAUAACGAAAUAAAAUAAAUUAGAAAAAUAGGUUGAAAAUAUACGGACCGUCCGAUCAAAUACCGGUUCUCAAUCACCGGCCGUGCGAUCACAUGCUAUUAUUUUAAUCGUCCCCCACGAACCUCGGCCCUCCCAUUCGCGCCCCACCUCAAAAAUCCCCCAUGCCCAGCGCGCAACGGCCAACCGCGCCCGGUGGGCCCCACCACUCCGAACCCGCACGUGGGCCCCACCCCGGCUCCGCGGGCCCGAUUGCCGCCACGUGUCGGGACGGGCUCCGAAACCCCGUCUCCGCCGCUCGAUUCGUCCGAAUGAGCCCAUCCCCACAUUAUUUGUCCCGCCCCAACCCCUUCGCUGUCAUCUUCUUCGUCUCUCUUCGCGUUCUCAACUCCCACCACCCCCGCUCUGAGUUCGCCCCACCGCGCUCGAAGGUUCGCAGCAAACCCUAGCUCCCGAUCCCAUCUCCUCUACAUUUCGAUCGAUCGAUCGAUCGAUUUCGAUCUAAUCGAUCUCUUUUUUUCUUUUUCUUUUUUUUUUUCUUUCUUUCGAAUGGUACGUAUAUAGGCGAGUGGAGCACUCGGUAGCGGGGUUAAUUUUUCCGAAAGAAUCGAUUCAAAUCGCGCGUUCUUGAACCCUAGGGUUUCUGAUCGAGAGGAUACGUACCUGUUUCGGUUGAUCUAUGAGGCAGUAGAGAGGGAGCGGCGGGGAGAGAUCGUCGUCGUCGUUGCUGCUGCGGGGCCGAGGAGGAGGAGGAGAGGUGACAAUGGCGGCGGGAGCGGAGGCGCCGGCGCCGGCGCCGGCGUCGGAAGCGGGGCAGAGCUCCGCCGCUGCCGCGGCGGCGGCGGGGAUGUCGGGGCCGCAGGGGCUGACGCGGCGGCCGUCGCGGAGCGCGGCGAUGGCGACGUUCUCCAUGGAGGUGUUCGACAACGAGGUCGUGCCCUCCUCGCUCAGCAGCAUCGCCCCCAUCCUCCGCGUCGCCGCCGAGAUCGAGCCCGAGCGCCCCCGCGUCGCCUACCUCUGUACACACCCCCUUUCCCCCUCUCUCUCUCUCUCUCUCUCUCUCUCUCUCUCUCAAAAACUUGGUGGGGAUGGUCCAAAAGUGAGAUCACGCGAAGAACACGAAUCUCAAUGUCGUAUGAACUGUAAAUUGAACGGUCUCACAAUGGAAACCAUUCCUACCGAUUUUUUCCCCUGAGCUCAUUUUGAUCCCUCUUUCCAUGUUAGAAACCCUAAGAACGAGAUCGAUCGAUCGACGACGGUGUCUUCGAUCUCAAUUUCAUUUUUUAAUAAAUACUGCAAAAACAAAAAAAAGGGGAUGCAUGCAUGAUAUAUCUUAGUCGAUUUUUUUCCUUUUAAUUUUUUUUGUGCAUACUUAAAUAGGUCGAUUCUACGCUUUCGAGAAGGCGCAUCGCCUCGAUCCGAGCUCAAGCGGACGUGGAGUUCGCCAGUUUAAGACCGCUCUCCUACAGCGCCUCGAGCGAGUGAGAUUUUAUUUUCUUCUUCUUUUUUUUUUUUUUUGAAAUCCACUUUUUAAUGCAUAUAUAUUUUUAUAUAUAUACACUACCUAUGAAACAUCGUUACUACGUCGUUCUCUGAGUUUGCGGCGCAUGAUUUUGGCGUUACUCGAACAAGAUGAUAAGAAACUGGAAAGAAAAUGAUUAUUUUAGGACGAAGUAAUAAUAAUAAUAAUAAUAAUAAUAUUUAAUAUUAACAUAUAACGGCUUCUUUAUUCCCGACAGCUGGGGCCGGGGUACGGGGUCAACGCAGGUUGUUUGCGUGGGUUUUGGGUAUUUUCGUCUUUUUGAUAGGAGGUAUAUAUUGGUAAAAUUGGGGUGACUUUAUCAAUCGCCCUAUUCUUUCCCGCUCUCGCCCGACACACCAAAAAAAAAAAAAAAAAAAAAAAAAAACAAAAUGUUGUUUUGCCUUUUGGCUCCAGAUCGGGAGCCUCAAUCGUGUCUAGCAACCAGUUUAAUCCGGUAAUGAAAGGUUAGUUUGUGUUUGAAUCCCGCUCUAUUGACGGUGAAUACUUUGUUAGGUUUUUGUUUUUUAGGGCUACGAAUAGUGGAAGCGAUUGUUUGGCCUGAAGAAUCCCUGCAAAUCAAAUCUACUCCAAACAUUAACCCCAUAAUAACACAAUUUAGAUAGGAUUAAGCUUCUACUCUGACAAUAAAAUUUUAGGGGAAAACAACCCAUUCAAGAUUGGACUGGGAAUGAAAUCGCCGCGAUUCCAUCAAUGUUUUGAUUCCUGGAAGGGAACUUAGCUAAAAUCUCACUCAGAAAGAUGGACUAUAUUUUUCUUCCAGAGUAAUUUGGUGAAAAAACUUUUUUUUUUUGUUUUUUGUUUUUUGGUAUAAUUCUGUAGGGAUAAAUCUUUCCAGAUGCCAAAAAAAGCCUACUUUUUCUCACCAGUGGAAUGUGUUUUGAGCAUACUUGAAUCAUAUUACAUUACAGGAUAAUACGCCGAGCCUUGCGAAGAGGGUAAAGAAGAGUGAUGCGCGGGAAAUUGAGAGCUUUUAUCAGCAGUACUAUGAGCACUAUGUUCGUGCUCUCGAUAAAGGCCAACAAGCUGAUAGGCAAGCAUCUGAUUUGCUUGGUUUCAUCUUUCUUUUAAUGUUUAUUGCGGCCUACCUUGGAUGUGGAAACUGAUUAGUAUCUUGUCAUUGGCAGAGCCCAGCUUGGGAAAGCCUACCAGACUGCUGGAGUUCUUUUUGAAGUGCUAUGCGCAGUUAAUAAGACCGAGAAAGUUGAAGAGGUCGCUCCGGAGGUUGGUGCUGCUGCCAAUUUUAAAUCCCAAUGAUUGCCAUGGGCCAGAUCUUGUCAUUUUGUGUCUUUCUUUUUUGUUCAUUUAACCAUGUUUCUUAUUCUUGAAGUAAUUUCGGUUAUUUGCCACUGUUAUUGAGUUGUUCGUCUUCAUCUCUCGUGUUUGUUCUUGCACAGAUUAUUGCUGCUGCCAGAGAUGUGCAAGAAAAGAAGGAAAUUUAUGUUCCUUACAACAUUCUUCCUCUUGAUGCUGCCGGUGCUUCACAGUCCAUCAUGCAACUUGAGGAGGUAUGACUUGUCACAGUUUUCUAGUCUCCACUAUUCUUAAGAAGAUAGUUUCCUAAUUAUCUGACAAUCCUUGUGACAGGUGAAAGCAGCAGUUGCUGCCCUGAGGAACACGCGAGGUUUGAACUGGCCAUCUUCCUUUGAGCAGCAAAGGCAAAAGACAGGAGACCUGGAUCUGCUUGAUUGGUUGAGGGCGAUGUUUGGGUUUCAGGUCUCGUAGCUCUAGAUAGAAGAUGACUUAUUGGUGCUAUUGCUUUCAUGAGGUCUCUAGCUUCUCUUUAUGUCUAACUAAAUUUAUUUUGUUUCCAGAGGGACAGUGUCAGGAAUCAAAGGGAGCAUUUGAUCCUACUGUUAUCUAAUGUUCAUAUAAGACUAACACCGAAGCCCGAACCUCUUAAUAAGGCAUGUGAAACUUUUCCUCCCUCUGAGUUGCAGUGCGUGUUUGUUAACCACUCUGCUUCCAUUGACUGCUAGUAAGGAUGUACCAUUGUCACAGCAGCUGCAUGUAUAUCAUUUUCACCUACCAAAAUCUUCUGCAUGUUUGUUGAUCUAACAAACUGCAACUAAAGCAAGUGAAAAUACUUGGUUAAUCGAUGCAUAAACAUUUAAUUGAGAAAGUGUUUAUGGACCAUGUAACAGCUUACCUUGGUCAGGUUUCGACUGAGCCUAAGAUAGCUAUUUCUUCUGUCAGAAUAUUCCUGACUAUUAUUUGACUGCAUGAUAUCUGACAUCAAGUGAACCAAUUCGGAGCCUUGUUUCGGCCUUGCGUUUUGUCUUUGGUUUAGAUCAAUCAAAUGUAUUUUACUCUAAGAACAAGUUAUUUCUUGUUUAACCACUCUCUCUUCCAGCGAUUGCAAACAGCAGUUUAAAAUAUGUCGUAUCUAGUUGUCGUUUUACACUUGUAUACUGGAAGGUCGACAAUCAGUCUCAAAAUUGUGUAAAUAAAGCGCUAAUACAUUCUAUUCUGUAUUUACAAUAAUCAUGCUAUAUCUUAGUUGAUUUGCUAACCAGUUCCUUUGAAACAGCUGGAUGAGCGAGCUGUUGAUGCUGUGAUGAAUAAGCUUUUCAAGAAUUACAAAACAUGGUGUAAAUUCUUAGGGCGCAAACACAGUUUAAGGUAUGAUGCUUAUCCCUCUUGAUUAUCGGUUACUUUUUUUAGCACUUUUUUUUAUUAUUGUGUGUAAUGCUGGUAAGUUUUACGAGUUCAGACUCCCUCAAGGUGCACAACCACAAGAAGUCCAGCAGAGAAAGAUUCUCUAUAUGGGUCUCUUUCUUCUUGUUUGGGGUGAAGCAGCCAACGUUCGGUUUAUGCCUGAAUGCCUGUGCUACAUCUUUCAUAAUGUAACAUACCUUUCCAAAUGCAUUUAUUCUUUUUCCCCCCCUUUCCUUAAUGCCUUAUAAUUCCUGCAACUACACGUCUAUAUUUUCGUUAAGCAAAUUCUAAAUGAGUUCAGAUGGCAUAUGAGCUACAUGGUCUGCUUGCUGGCAAUGUAAGCGUUGUGACCGGAGAAAACAUUAGACCUUCAUAUGGGGGAGAUGACGAGGCUUUCUUGAAGAAAGUGAUUACUCCAAUUUAUCGUGUUAUAGAGAGGGUAUGCUUCUUAACAUCAAAAAUACAACAUUUCACUUUAUCUUCACUUUACGGAACAACAAAUAAUGGUGUUGAUCUGCCAGGAAGCAAGCAAAAGCAAAAAUGGAAAAGCUCCACAUUCAGCAUGGUGUAAUUAUGAUGAUCUAAAUGAGUACUUCUGGUACUUCAAAGAGUCCUGAAUACUUGCUAAAUUAGUUCUUUGGUUUCAUUCAAAUGUGCUAAUAUUCAAUGUAACUAUGUGACACUCAGGACAUCUGAUUGUUUCUCUUUGGGAUGGCCUAUGCGUGAUGAUGGUGAUUUUUUUAAAUCAGUACACGAUUCAAGGUCAAUAUCGCUGGUAUGUUAUAAGCUUCCACUGGUCAAUGCAUUGAAAAUUCCCAAAAGAAUGUCGUGCUAAGAUGCUCUAUUUGCAGGCUGGACGCUCAUCUCAAAGAACUAGUAAAAGCACCGGGAAGUCAAAUUUUGUUGAGACCAGAACAUUUUGGCACAUUUUCCGAAGCUUUGACCGUAUGUGGACCUUUUAUAUAUUGGCACUGCAGGUACUCUGAUGACACGUCAGGUGGAAUGUCUUUACUUUGAUUUUCUCUCAUAUGUAUACUGAUUUUCCAAUUUUACAGGCAAUGGUGGUCGUUGCUUGGAGUGGCUAUCCACUAGAGGAAAUCUUUCAAAAAGAUAUCUGGUAUUCUGUGUCUAGCAUUUUCAUUACAGCAGCAUUUCUUCGGUUCCUCCAAAGUACGAGCUUUUCCAAACAUAUAACAAUAUUUUUCUUUUUUUCUGGAUUCUUGAUGAAACAAGUAGUUUUACAUAUGAUAAACUUGUUGUAUGCUAUGAAGGCCUAGUUCUAUAUUAAAUGUCUCCUUACUGGUAUCCAAGCACCUUAUAUUGACUUGUUAUAAUAUAGGACAUAAAGGUGUAGUCUUGGAAUGCAUUACCCAAAAGCAUGCAAUUUUAUCUUUAAGUAGGUCCUGAUCUUCAAGGUAGUUUAGACCUUACUUCUUCCUAUAUUGUAAAAUGGUGGUGGGAGCCAUCACCAGAGAAGAUCUUGCUGGAUGCUUCUCCUAUGGCGGUUUCCACCACUAUUUUUAAGGAUAGGAAGAGGUAAAAUCUAAAGUUCUUUCAAAAUUUUUGUGUCCUUCAAACUUAUCAAGGGUGGAUGCUUUUGAGGGAUGCAUUCCCAAACUAGGCCUUAGUACGUUGGGGAUCCUAGGUUCUUCUGAUGAUUAUUGUGAUGCUCCCUAUAAUGUUUAGGGUUUAGGGUUUUGAGGUUCUUCUGAUGAUUGUGAAUGCUUUUAAGGGAUGCAUUCCCAAACUAGUCCUAAGUAGGUUGCUGAUCCUAGGUUCUUCUGAUGAUUGUGAUGCUUCUUAUGACGUUAACUUAAAUUGUUGUACCAUUCUAUUGUUGACAGGCAUUCUGGACCUUGUUCUGAACUUCCCUGGCUAUCAUAGAUGGAAAUUCACUAAUGUUCUGCGAAAUAUACUCAAGACACUAGUUAGUGCUGCCUGGGCUGCUAUCCUUCCUCUUUGUUACCUUAAUACUGCAGAAAAAGUAAAUUUACCAGUGAAAGAUCUGGCGAAAUGGCUUGGUCAAGUGAAAGGAGUGCCGCCUUUAUAUAUCAUGGCUGUAGCAGUGUACUUGCUCCCAAAUUUGCUAGCAGGAAUACUAUUUAUUUUUCCAAUGCUUCGGAGAUGGAUCGAAAACUCUGAUUGGCACAUCAUUAGAUUCCUCCUAUGGUGGUCUCAGGUACAAAAUGCAUAUUUUUGUUCAAAAAGAAUACAGAAUGCAUAUAGAUCCCUCUUGUUCUUUUGUCCUCUCUGCUCUUAUAUUUCUCUUAUUUAUGACUAACCGGAUUCUUCUGUAGCUUGAUCUGUAUAUCAAGUGUGGCUACUUUGUGUUUCAGAAACAUUAUAGUUGCUGCCGCGCUGGGCAUUUAUAAUUUCCAUAUCCUUUUUUUGAAAGCUAAUGUUCAUUUCCAUUUUCAUGCUAUCAUGUUAAUGGAACUAAAAUUCACCAGUAGAUCAAUCUAUUCAGCAAGUAGGAAUAGUUUAGUGCACAUAUAUCAAAAAGGAGGCAAAGUAGAAGAGACGCUUAAUUGCCUAGAAUCGUCAUGUGGAACAGUUUCUUUUUUUGUUUUGUUUUUUUUACUCUUUUAGGUAAUUUAUAUGUAUGAAUGAGAAGCUGGUCCCUUGGAUAGCUAGAACUGGUUAUCAUGUUAAUGGCUGCCUUGGAUGCUUUCCCACUAGUGUAUCACAUUCUGUUUUGUGGAUAAUUCAUGGAAAUCUGAUUUAAUUUCCUCUCUGAUGAUCCAACCCAUUAGCUAAUUACAUGAUCAUGCUAUAGCUGUCUUCCUUUUCCAUUAUUCUUGCAUAUUCUUUUAUUAUUCACUAACUGCAUCAUAUCAACACCUGUAGCCACGAAUUUAUGUUGGACGGGGUAUGCAUGAAAGUCAGUUUGCCCUUUUCAAGUAAGUUUAUGUGACCGCCAUCCUAUCUAGUUCCGGUCCACUCUCUGAGAUAGAAUUGCCACCUACAUCUCCUCUUCUUUUGCAGGUAUACAUUGUUUUGGGUAUUGCUUUUGUGCUCCAAAUUCGCAUUCAGUUAUUUUGUCCAGGUAAUCUUUGUCUUUUCAGGGUAAACUUUUAUAGAACAUAGAGUUUAAGGAAAUCUAGUAGUCAAUAUCAUCAGUUUGCUUAUUCAUGUUACUAUUAUACAGAUUAAACCUCUGAUUAAGCCAACAAAGGAUAUAAUGGAUGUUCACAAUAUUCAAUAUGCCUGGCACGAGUUUUUCCCGAAUGGUAACAAUGGUUUUUCAUUAUUUCUAUCGAUUGGUGCUCAUGUUUUUUCAAUUCACGAAUGUUAUGAUCUGUGCAGCCCAACACAAUAUUGGUGCUAUUGUCUCCCUCUGGGCGCCUGUGAUUUUGGUAGGUGUUGCCACUAAUUUUCACCCAUCUGUCUUUUGGAAAAAAAAAAAAAGAAAAAAAGUAAAUGGUGAAUUGUUCUUUUCUUUAUCCUUUUCCCUCGUCAAAAGUUGACAUGUUUGGCAACAACAGUUUACGAGAGCACAACUUUCCUUUCCUCUUCAGGUCUAUUUUAUGGAUACACAGAUUUGGUAUUCAAUUUUCUCUACCCUGUAUGGUGGUGUUUAUGGAGCAUUUGGCCGACUUGGAGAGGUAAACUAGGGAAAAAAAACACCCAAGGGUGAUGUUCCAUCUUCUAGGACUAAAUUACGAGAUUGAAACUUCAGGGAUCUCCUUGCAAUUUCAAACGCAUUUAGGGAGUAACUAUAGACUUUCUCCUUUUGUUUAUCCCACUGGAUUAGUUAUCAUUCUAUCAUGCCUAGCUUGUUACAGUAUAAGCAUAGAAUUUACUCUGCUCUAACUUUAAAUUCAUAGUAAAAUAUUUUUCAUGUGGUCAGAAUACAGUCAAAAAAAAAAUCAUUUGGUUAGAAACUCAAACUUCCGCUUAUUAUAUCUUUCUUUUACUUUUAAUAGAUACGGACGCUAGGCAUGCUGAGAUCACGAUUUCAUUCUUUACUCGGAGCCUUCAAUACAUAUCUGGUGCCAUCCGAAAAGACCCGCAACAGGGGCUUUUCACUCUCAAAACGUUUUGCUGAGGUUAGCAAAAACUAUUAAUUUAGUCUAGACAAUUUUGAAUGGUUAUUUGACCUGAAUGUUUAACACUAAUAUGAAAAAACCAUGAAGGUUUCUCCAAACAAGAGAACUGAAGCUGCAAAGUUUGCUCAGUUGUGGAAUGAAGUGAUUUGCAGCUUCCGAGAGGAAGACCUGAUAAGCGACAGGAAAGCCCUUCAACUCAUUUAUAAGAUAACCUAUUUUCUAUUCAUACUAUGAAAUUGGUGUCCUGCAAUGCUGAUAAACAGUUUGUAAAUUCAGGGAGAUGGAUCUUUUGUUAGUUCCUUACUCUUCAGAUCCUAGCCUGAAGUUAAUACAAUGGCCGCCCUUCUUGCUAGCCAGCAAGGUUUUUUACCAACACUCUUAUUCUUGGCUGUAUAGUUACCUAUGUGCCCAACUGCUGAUGUUUCACUACAUGGGUGCUCUUGCAGAUUCCCAUAGCUCUGGACAUGGCAGCUCAAUUUCGAACAAGGGACUAUGAUCUUUGGAAACGAAUAUGUGCUGAUGAGUAUAUGAAAUGUGCUGUACUAGAAUGUUACGAGUCUUUUAAACUUGUUCUUAAUGUACUGGUGGUUGGAGAAAAUGAGAAAAGGUCUGUUAGAAACCAUCUAUAUUCAUUUUGGUUGCUUUCAUGUGAUCUUUUGAGAAUUAGUGACUUGACAAUGUGCUUAAAUAUAUUAAUUUCAUCAUCUUCUUAACAUACUGGUGCAUCCACUGGGACAGGAUUAUUGGUAUUAUUAUCAAAGAAAUUGAAGCCAACAUUGCAAAGAGCACGUUUCUUGCCAAUUUUAGAAUGAGCGCCUUACAAGUCCUGUGCAAGAAAUUUGUGGAGCUUGUGUCCAUCUUGGUAAGUCAAAUACAAAAAAUUAUCAUUUAUUUUCUGUGAACAUUUCAUCAUGUUGAACAAUUUUUUUAACUCAAUUAACAUUGUAUCUUUGGAUAAGUAAAACAUUUCUAUCAAGGUAUGACAAGAACCCCUAAAAUGAUUUUUUUGCUUUCACUUCCAGAAAGAAGGAGAUGCUUCUAUGCGUGACACUGUGGUCCUAUUGCUGCAAGACAUGCUAGAGGUGGUUACUAGAGAUAUGAUGGUUAAUGAGAUUCGGUAGGGAAUUGUAUAAUUUGAAUCACUGAAAAUGUCAAUUUUUCUGAGUAAUUUUUCGUCGUCUUUUGAUAUCUGGAUUUGUUCUUGUAGGGAGUUGGUUGAGCUUGGCCAUGGUAGCAAGGAUUCAGUCCCCCGAAGACAACUUUUUGCUGGUACUGGUUCAAAGGCUGCUAUAGUGUUUCCCCCUGUAGUUACAGCUCAAUGGGAAGAACAGGUGCAUAGCCAUACAUCCUCUCAUGUUGUUGAUAGCUAGGACGGCAUAGUUAUAUUUGUAAUUUACAGAUCAAACGCCUGUACCUGCUGUUGACUGUAAAAGAAUCAGCAAUAGAUGUGCCUACGAAUCUUGAAGCUCGGCGGAGGAUAGCGUUUUUCACGAAUUCAUUAUUCAUGGACAUGCCACGUGCACCUCGAGUUCGCAAAAUGCUAUCAUUCAGGUUACUGUCUUGUUUCUAAUAGUAUCACUGGAUGGACAUGCAAUAUUUCAAGAUCGUUUAACUAGUUAUGAAAGAGAUUUCGUCAUUAACCAGCAUUGAACCAGUUCAAUGCCCACAUGGAAACAGCAAAGUUAGUUGACUAAAGAGAUAUGGACCGGGACCAUGCAUCACAAUACUGCCACCCCCAGUUUUGGUUCUAGAAUAGGUUGAACCUUUUCUGCCUAGAAGUGAGGUGAAACUCCUAAGUGUAAGAAACAGUAUUUUAUUAGAGUUGGAUGCUAAAAGAGAAUUAGAGAACUUCGAACCAAAUGCCACAUGAUAAGUGACAAGACAUAUCAUGAACUAAAUUUAUUACAACUUACUGUGAGAAUUCAUGACUCAUCCAUGCUAGCUGUUUCUGUGGUGUGUUUUAAGUUCACCUUGUUAAGAAGUUCAUUUAAAACUUGCAUUAUACUGUAGCUGCAAGCUUAUGUCACAGGGAGACCUGUUAGAUCAAUGAGUUCCUCAGUUCAAAUCCAUGACCCUCAUUCUAUCAAUUUUGCAAGGCAUUUCAGUAGCUACAUUUAACACUACAUAUGUGUAAGUUUUGGUACAACAUGACUACAGAGAGGUUUACAUCAUUAUAUGUCACGGUGCAACAAGUGAUUCGUAGAACAAAUAUCUUUUGUCUCAGUAAUACUAUGAUCAGCAGAACAUAUAAAUUAUUUCAGAUAUGAAUAUUUAUAGCCAAGUAUCAUGAACUGUAUAAAUGAAUGUCUAUGGCAUUACCAAGUAUCAAGAUAUAAUUCACUUCGGAGAUGAAUAUUCAUGAUUGCCAAGUAUCAUGAACUGUAUAGAUCUCUCGUUUUCAGUAUUAUGUUUAGCUAAAAUUUUACAUAAGUUUAGUCAACAUUCUGAAACAGUCAUUUUUAUUCUAUAUGACUUUGCAGUGUCAUGACCCCUUACUAUAGUGAGGAGACUGUCUAUUCCAGAAAUGAUCUUGAUUUGGAGAAUGAAGAUGGUGUAUCAAUCAUCUUUUACCUUCAAAAGAUCUUUCCAGGUUCAAAUACUUCAGUACCUGCAGCCCUGCCUCUCUUCUUCUCUCUUUUCUUUUCUCUUUUGGGAUUGCUUGUUUGUCAUUGUUCAUGGAAUUUUACUUGUGUACAUGCGCUUAACCUUGUCAAUUGGUUUAAAUAGAUGAAUGGAACAACUUCAUGGAGAGAAUUAACUGCAAGAGAGAGAGUGAAGUUUGGGCUAAUGAGGAGAAUGUCUUACAACUUCGCCAUUGGGCCUCCCUUAGGGGACAGACACUCUGUAGAACAGGUAAUUGCUAUACUCACAUUUCUAUUUCUUGCCAUCUAUUAGACAACAAUAACAUUAGCUUGGUUUCAUUUUCUUUCCUGAGGACAGUUAGGGGCAUGAUGUACUACCGAAGAGCUUUAAAACUUCAGGCUUUUCUUGACAUGGCUUCUGAAAGUGGUAUGUUGCUUUGGUCACCGAAAUGAAGUAUUUCAAUCUCAUCAUUUACCUCAAUAGUACUAUUGGUGAUUAUCUACUUUUAUGUACAGAAAUAUUAGAAGGAUAUAAAGCAGUUGCUGAUCCAGAAGAGGAAGAGAAGAAGAGCCAAAGAUCACUAUCUGCUCAACUUGAGGCCAUAGCUGACAUGAAAUUUACAUAUGUUGCCACAUGCCAAAUUUAUGGCAAUCAAAAACAGUCUGGAGAUCGUCGUGCAACAGACAUUUUGAACUUGAUGGUCAAGUGAGUUUUCCGUUCGUUUUUCUACAAUAUUUCACUUGGUCAUUCUUCCUGAUGAUUAAUAUCACCAUUCCAUCAUAUGAUACUUACAUGUGAUCUUGAAGGUACGUGAAAUAAUCAUGCUGUACCUAAUAAUACCUUAUAGAGUGACAUAAAAAUGUUUCUAUUCUUUAUCUUUUUAGCUAAUGGAUUUAAUACUGAAAGCUAAUCUCUAAUUUGUAAAUACAGCUAUCCUUCUCUUCGGGUAGCCUAUAUUGAUGAAGUUGAAGAAAGAGAUGGUGACAAGGUACAGAAGGUCUACUAUUCUGUGUUGGUGAAAGCUGUUGACAAUCGUGAUCAGGUAAUCAUUGCUCACAAUACAUCCCGUCUGCCUGAACUUAAGAUGAUACUGAUGUUUUAUUUUCUUCUGUGAAAGGAAAUAUACCGGAUAAAAUUACCAGGAUCAGCAAAAGUAGGUGAAGGGAAGCCCGAAAACCAAAACCAUGCAAUAAUCUUUACUCGUGGUGAGGCACUUCAGACAAUUGAUAUGAAUCAGGUAAAGAAAGUUCUAAGAUUACUGAAUUGAUGUCUUAAGCUUUGUUCUUAUAUAACAAUUGAGGAAUUUUUCAGGACAAUUAUCUGGAAGAGGCUCUAAAAAUGCGGAAUCUCCUGGAAGAAUUUAAUGAAGACCAUGGAGUGCGUCAGCCUACCAUUCUUGGUGUUCGUGAACAUAUAUUCACAGGAGGGUAAAUAACAAUUCAUUAGCAUUAACAUGCCUUACUUCUACUCACUAAUAACAUUAGACCAUUGUCCAAUUGACAAUUUUUCUUUGUAGUGUAUCAUCUCUGGCAUGGUUCAUGUCAAACCAGGAAACCAGCUUUGUGACUAUUGGACAGAGAGUCCUCGCUAGCCCAUUGAAGUAAGUUCCACUUCUUGGUCGUGUAAUAAUUUCAGUUCAUCUAGCUGGUAUAGUAUGGUAGCUCCAAUAUUUUAUUGUUAAUGUAUAUAGUUAUUACUGGAGUAGUCACCCAGAGGCUAUAUUUUAAUAUUAUGUCUUACUUGGAACUAGUAUGAAAAUCUGAACUCAAGAACCUUUCAGUGCCUUUAUGCCUGAAAAGAAAAGUAAUUCGUAUUUUGGUAGUAGAAUCUAGAAUAUGUUUGAUCUUUGUAAUAUAUAAACCUUCUAUUAGAACAAUGGAAAGAGAAAGGAAUAUUGAGAAAGUAAAACAAUCAAAACCAAAGAAUAGAAUGAGAUAUUAUAGGUUAGUUGUUUUGCAUAGUAUCAGAGUAAAAGGUAAUGAGUUUAAAUCUCACUGUGCAUCCAGUAUUGUUUAAUUUCCUCCCAUUUAAGGGGCAUUCAUGUUUUAAGCCUAUCAUAAAGCCCUGUACAUGAGAGGGAGUACUAAAUAUAACAUACUUAAACACUGUUCUCUAACAACUUAAGCUUUUAGAGAGUAAUCAGUUGUUUCACACAUUUCUUUUUUCGUUCUGCUGCUGAAACACUAAGGGUGUGUUUGGUUCCACGUAAAACUGGAAAAAAAAUUUCGGUGGAAAAAAAAGUUUUACGUCGUUUAGUGUUUGGUUUGUAGAAAAAGAAAAAUAGUUUUCCAUAACGGUUGUUUGGUUGAAAGGAAAAAAAAAUAGAUAAAAAACUAUUAAAUAUAUUUUUUUAUUAUAUAUAUUAUUAAUAUAUAAUAAUUAAUAUACCAUAUAUAUUAUCAUUAUAAUUUCUAUAUAUAGAUUAAAUAUAUUUAAAAUAAUAAUAAACAUAUAGUUAUAUAUUUUGAGAUAUUAAUAAAUAUAUUACAUAUUUAUGGCUGUUUGUUUGAAAGAAAAAAAAAAUAUAAAACUAUUAUAUUUUAUUAUUCUUAUAUAUAUAUUAUAUAUUAUUAAUAUGCAAUAAUUAUUAAUACUAUAUAUAUUAUUAUUAUAGUUUUUUAAUAAAUAAAUAUAUUCAAAAUAUAUUAUAUAAUAAGUAUAUAAUAUAAUAUAUAAUAGUAUAUUAUAUUUAGUACUAUAAAAUAAAUCACUAUUUAAAAAUAAUAUAUAUAUAGAUAUGCAUGCACACACAUAAUGAAUGAGGGAGAGAGAGUCCACGGGUCCAGCUCCCUCGUGGAUUCUUCCUCACGUGGUCCACGAGGUGAAGUUCACAUUGUGGACCGCGUGUUAACACAGCCAUGAGCCGCGAUUUUUCCCCGCGAGCUUUUCGUUUUCCGCUCGAAGCGAGCGGAAAACGAAAACGCUUCGUUUUCCGCUCGCUUUGAGCGGAAAACGAAAACGCUUCGUUUUCUAAGUAUCUAUAAAAGAAAUUUUCCAGGAAAAUUUUUACAGACAACCAAACAACAAAAAAUAUUUUUUCAACGAAAAAUUUCUUUUCGGAGCGGUUUUACGAGGAUCCAAACACGCCCUAAAAGAAUUUCUGCAAUAUAAAAGCUGUGAUGGUGAAGAACUGUCAUAAAUUCUGAAAUUUUUUAGUCACAGCAUGCAUAACUUGGAUAAGGCUUUUAGCUUAUGGAUAUGCUCAAGGGCAAGUACAUUUCAUCCUGGAAGCAUCGUAGCUCUUUACAGAUGUUUUAUUUCCUUUUCCUGUUAAUUUGUUUCAGAUGAAUAAUUAUUUUAGGAGAUAAAAUAUUUACCUUCCUCCAAUUUGGACAGGAUUCGGUUUCACUACGGUCAUCCAGAUGUGUUUGAUAGGAUCUUUCAUAUCACAAGGGGUGGCAUUAGCAAGGCUUCACGUGGAAUCAAUCUAAGCGAGGAUAUAUUUGCAGGUAAAAUUGUUUCCUAUCAUUUCUCUUAGCUCCAAUGCUAAUGCCUAUAUAAACUGAGCAUGACAUGUCUUUCAGGUUUCAACUCGACGCUAAGGCGUGGAAAUGUCACACACCAUGAGUACAUCCAGGUGGGCAAAGGCCGUGAUGUUGGCCUCAACCAAAUUUCGCUCUUUGAAGCGAAAGUGGCCUGCGGCAAUGGAGAGCAAAUACUAAGUAGAGAUAUCUAUCGUUUGGGUCAUCGCUUUGACUUCUUCCGAAUGCUAUCAUGCUACUUUACAACCGUUGGAUUCUACAUCAGCUCAAUGGUAAGAACUAUUCUUCUUUUCUAAAGUUAUUAGAGAACCCUAACAGGUACUUUGCAAUUCCUUGAUUACUUCUUAUCCAUUGUCUUACUUUUUGUUCAAUAUGCAGAUGGUUGUCAUUAUUGUUUACCUAUUCCUAU